rnacentral:lncRNA from 1 species
GAACAGAUGAGGCCAGCCUCAUCUUGGAGGCCGGGGCUCAGGAGAGAGUGCUAGAAUAGAUCUUCUAAGUCUUGGUGGUCACAUUGGUGGAGAGCAGCAGGUCACUUGUGGGACAGUUGUGGGGAGGCAGCCAGAUUUAGAGGGUGCAGGGACUGAGGUGGGCAGGGUGGCAAUCCCGGGUGACAGGGCAGGGGCAGCUUGGGGAGGGACUUUGUGCCUGGCCGGGUGGGUUUCACUCUGCCUGGUGUUCCCCAAGGAGGUGGAUGAUGAUCUGAUGCGGAUGGGUAUUUGUAUUAAUAUGAUUUUUGAAGUGUUUUGGGGAAAUUAGAACUAGUCCAUCCAUCCAGUGUGUUCAGAAAGAGGUUGGAGUUGGCCUUAAGCUCAGAACCAACCGUGAGCGAGUUGCCUUUUUACACCAAGGGAGUGUUCUGUGCAGGUGCCUGGGGGAGGGAGGGCUGGAAGCUGCAGCUGGGUCAGGAGCAGGCCGCCUGGGAGGCUGUGAAGGUCAGCGAGUUAGGGCUGUGCAGGUGGGAAGAGCCUGGGGCUGGCUGCUCACUGGGCUGUGAUGGGCCCAGCCUGGGCUG